rnacentral:rRNA from 1 species
UACAGAGGGUGCAAGCGUUAAUCGGAAUUACUGGGCGUAAAGCGUGCGCAGGCGGUUUUGUAAGCCAGAUGUGAAAUCCCCGGGCUUAACCUGGGAAUGGCAUUUGGGACUGCAAGGCUGGAGUACGGCAGAGGAGACUGGAAUUCCUGGUGUAGCAGUGAAAUGCGUAGAGAUCAGGAGGAAUACCGAUGGCGAAGGCAGGUCUCUGGGCUGAUACUGACGCUCAUGCACGAAAGCGUGGGGAGCAAACAGG